UACGAGGGGGGCGAGCGUUGUUCGGAAUUAUUGGGCGUAAAGGGUGCGUAGGCGGUUCCGCAAGUCCUGUGUGAAAUCUUCGGGCUCAACUCGAAGUCUGCACGGGAAACUGCGGGGCUUGAGUGUGGGAGAGGUGAGUGGAAUUCCCGGUGUAGCGGUGAAAUGCGUAGAUAUCAGGAGGAACACCUGUGGCGAAAGCGGCGCACUGGACCACAACUGACGCUGAGGCGCGAAAGCUAGGGGAGCAAACAGG
rnacentral:rRNA from 1 species